rnacentral:rRNA from 1 species
UGGAAUUGCUAGUAAUGGCAGGUCAGCAUACUGCCGUGAAUACGUUCCCGGGCCUUGUACACACCGCCCGUCACACCAUGAGAGUUGGGAAUACCCGAAGCCUGUGAGCUAACUUUUAGGGGCAGCAGUCGAAGGUAGAAUCAAUGAUUGGGGUGAAGUCGUAACAAGGUAAC